rnacentral:rRNA from 1 species
UACGUAGGGUGCGAGCGUUAAUCGGAAUUACUGGGCGUAAAGCGUGCGCAGGCGGCGCGUUAAGACAGGUGUGAAAGCCCCGAGCUUAACUUGGGAAUUGCGCUUGUGACUGGCGAGCUGGAGUGUGGCAGAGGGAGGUGGAAUUCCACGUGUAGCAGUGAAAUGCGUAGAGAUGUGGAAGAACACCGAUGGCGAAGGCAGCCUCCUGGGCCAGCACUGACGCUCAUGCACGAAAGCGUGGGGAGCAAACAGG